GCUCCCGUAACAACGUGCCACUCUUCGACAUUACUGCUACUGAAUACAGGUUUAAUCUGGACUUGCUGCUGUGUUACCGUUUGUGCAUUUUCUCUGGGAUAAAAUUGAAUAAAAACUUUUGUGAAUUAGUAAUAGAAGUGGAACUAGUAUAAAGACACUUCUUAAUUCUUAGGGAAUGAAUGUUUUUCUAGCAAAUACAUUUCAUUUUAUUUGGUAUAUUUUUAAUGUCCAUUCUGAUUUCCUGUCUCAGUCUUUGUCCCCAGCUGUGUGAAUGGAACUCCACUGUUGUCUGUGCCUUGUGGUUUUGGGGUCAUAUCAGUUCCACUUUUAACAUUUACUAAAUUGAUAUUCAAACCUCUAUACUUGCUGAGAGUAGUUCACUAUCUCCAAUCCUGUCAAAUCUGGCAGUUUUGUAUCCUAUCUUGGAGGUAAUCCUUAGCUGCCUCCUUCUGCCCAAUUCAAAUUUCCAUCCUUGGGGUGUGUGUCUACCUGUCUACCUCUCUUCCUCUAUCUCACAUUCUACUCUGCGUGUUUGCAAUAUCCUGUUUUAUCUGCAAGUCCUUAGAUUAUUUAAAUUCCAUGCCCAAAUGUUUUUUAUCUCUGAAACUAUGUACCCAUUAAUAGCAUUUUCCCCUUCUGCUUCCAGUCUCUUUAGACACGGACGCCUUUCUGUAAAGACUACAAUUAUCAUAGAAGUAGCCUUGGCUUUCUUUCCAUUUCAUUUCCCUCUUUUUUCAUAUCCCCCACUGGUCGCUGAAGAGGAACAGAGCUCAUGUGUAUAGCAGACUCCCUUUGCUUUUCUUAUCUCAUCAUCAGGUACUAUUUUUUUCAAAAUAACAUUGACAAACCACCCUAAUUUUGUAUUUUCACUUCUCUCAUCUAAGACUUACAUCACCCAUGAAUUAGAUUGAAGUGUCAUAAAAUUGAAAAUCUAGUCCUGGCUCACCUUAUUCUCUGAAAUGGUGAAGAUGCUCAAGAUAUAAACCAAGUGCAUUGAGAAUGCUGGCUGUACUUUAUAAUGGUCAGGUUUCUGUACCAGGGUGGAGUCAGCAGGAGGGUAUCAGGCCUUAGAACUUAAGUUGCAUCAGUUCCUUAUAUGUGAAUUGGUUGUGUAUAUUUUGCCCCAUCUACCCGCUGGGAGUAUAUAAGACAUGUUCCCAAGUCUGAAUAGGAUGCUGAGGCAAAAAGAAAAGAAAGAAAAAAAAAGGGAAGCUUGCUUGCGGUGCUGGCCUCACUCAGUGUCUUUAAGUGUAGAAUUACUUUGGGGUUCUCUGAAGGAGUAACAGGCUGAGUCGGCAUACAGAGAGUAGUCGUCUACCACCAAGGAUUUGAGCUCCGUUCCUCUUCAGCUGCCAGUGGGUGAUCAGAAAAGAGGAAAAUGGAAAAGAGAAAAGGAUAGAUGCAUCUAUGACAGCUGUGGUCUUUAAAGGACUCCAUGUCUAAAGAGACCGGAAGCAGAAGGAGCUAACCUGCAUUGUGUUGUUUUCUUGCUUUGCUCAUUCUCAUCCAGUGCAAGCCUCCGGUCUGCUCAGUGUUCAGUGGUUCUCAGGGGUCUAAGCUAAGCCUGAUGGCAUGAGGCCUGGACCACUCAUGGCUUUGCUCAGCUUUUGUUUCUGGUUUCAAUGAUUGUCUAUAACUGUAUAAGGUAGUGGAUUGGUCUUAACCAUUUCUAGAACAUGCUCUACCUUCUUGGUAAUACUAUUCCUAAGCACUCGUCGUCGUCUAAAUUCCAAAUUCCCGAUGUUUUCUCAGAUUGAUGAUGCGUAGCACCUAGCUUUAUUACAGCCCUUUUGUUUUGUCCUGGGUUUGCCAGUGUUCAUGCUUUCCAAACUCCUUAGCGCUCUUAAGCUCUGUAAUUAUAAAACUGGAUUGGAUAUAAGUUGGCUAUUUAAUGUCCAUAUUCCCUUUUAGAUUGUAAGCUCCAGGAGAGCAGAAAUAAAUGUUGUUAUGGUGCCAGUGAUUUCUUACAAGUCUUAUACACUGUGGAUGGGAUUUGCUAGGACUUUGAAGCUUAUGACUUGAAAGUUGCAUUUAUAAAUUGGCUGGACUGAGUACAGCUCAUUGGCAUUACCUUAGCACUUAGGAACUUCCUUAGCUACGUAGGAAAUAAAGUCGGUAUGCCAUAUUGUCAGAGGCCCCACUUGAUAUGAAUGCUAAGUUACACUGUCAGUAGAUUUGAUGAAUUUGUCAUGUAAUCAGUAAGUAAGUAAAUAAAUGUUUAACGUC
rnacentral:lncRNA from 1 species